CCAGCCUCCUCUCUGCCACAGUCAAGUCUUGGAAGUCCCCUCUGCUUUUCAGGCUCUUCCCUCACCCAGAGAGAUGGCAGUGCCAGGUCCUGCCACUCCUCGAGGAGGCAUUUUGUCCCAUUUUAGUCAACAACACACUUUCCACAGUACCCUUUGCCCUACCAAACUCCAUCUCUGGGAUUGUAAAAAGAAAUUGGAGCAGAGUUCCCAGAGGAUGGGGACGUUAACCAGAAGGGAGUGUCUCUGUGUUCCAUCUUUUCCCUAAGGGUCUGUGUUUUUUUUUCCCUUCUGACUCAACUUGUAAAUUUGAGGGGAAGUUAGUAAGAAGGAGGAGUCAGUCAAAGAGAACCAAGUAUGGAGUGUGAGGCCCAGGGAGAUGCUGCAUUCAUGCCGGCAACAGGUUGUCCAACAGACUGAGAGGGCCUUAGAAUGUUUCUGAUUUUUACCUGUGCCGAAGUCAGAGGAAGACAUUUGGUUUAUCUACAGAGGCACACUCGUUUGGCUUAAGUAAUCAACACUAACUGUAGCUUGGUAUUUAUUUUAUUAUUCACCCUUUCAGUCAGCAGACAUUGACUGAGCUAACUGCUUUAUGCCAAGCAAUGUAUUAAUCACUGACUAUUUAGUCUGAUGUGGAAGACAGACUAAAUAAUCACAGCAUAACCAGCGCAACAAAAGAAGAAUACACAAAGUACUUAGGAAACCAAGAAGAGGCAUCAGUUACUGUCAACAGACUUCAGAGAAGACUUUUCAGAGGAGAUGAUAUUUAAGCCAGCUCAUGAGAGAAGAGGAGACUUUCUUGCCAUGGGUUUUCCACCCAAUAAACAAAUGGGAAAUGGAAAGAACCACAUCAACAUCAAAGUCAGUAGAGAGGCAGAUUUAUAUAUGGCCACCAUACUUGAACUACAAUGUGCUGAAAUUAAGAAGGGAACCACUGAGAGUUGGAGGAAGCUGCUGACAUGGGAGACACGAGUCUAGAAACUAAAAGCUGAACUUAAACAUGACAUCAUCAUCAAUAGCUCCCUUAUGAAAUUUGAGGGAUCACUGGCUCCUCACAGGAAACACGAUUACAGGGACAUUUCUGGUUGACACUGUUGUUCUGAUUAUUGCUGCUGAUCAUGGUGAAUACUAAGAAUUUCAAGGAAUGGGCAAACUGGUGAGCUGACAAUAUCAGUCUGUAUUUUUCUUUUCUUAUAAUGUCCUUUUCAAAUUUUUGUAACAGGGUAGUGUUGGUUUCACAAAAUGAUUUGGAAGUGUCUUCUUUAUCCUA